GCCAGCAUGGUAUAGUGGUUUGUAUGUUGGACUGGCACUCUGGAAGACCAGGGUUCGAAUCCUUGCUCAGCA